rnacentral:rRNA from 2 species
UUUAUGGAGAGUUUGAUCCUGGCUCAGGAUGAACGCUGGCGGCGUGCCUAAUACAUGCAAGUCGAGCGAACAGACGAG